AAACUACUCCCUCUGUCCGGAAAAGCUUGUCCCUCUAGUAAAUGUAUCUAGCACCAAGUUAGUGCUAGAUACAUCCAUUUGAGGGACAAUGGGACAAGCUUUUCUGGACAGAGGGAGUAUAUU
rfam:Triticum aestivum genome assembly, contig: Triticum_aestivum_CS42_TGACv1_scaffold_177956_2DS